UGUAUUUUCAUUAAGAUUUUAGGUUCCUUCUUGAUUGGGCUCCACAGCGAAAGCGAAUCCUUGCUUUGUUCCUCUGAAUCUUUACUCGUGGCAAAACAUCUCGUGGACGAGGACCUUGCUCUCAGAACGCCGUGAGAUCGUAAAUUAACGCUUUCUCGAGACGACGUAUCCUGUUCAUGAUGACAAAUAGUUCAGUUUUCUGUAUCGUCACACUUGCGCACCAUCAAUGACUUUAGGUUAGUUCAUCAACGUUUCCCUUCGUAGGGCAGGGCGAAGAUACACUGAAUGUGCAGGAUCUAAGAUGUACAUCUGUCUAUUUGCUAAUCCUCGUGCAUAGGCUGCAACUGACUAUCGAGGCGUCAGAGUCCUGUUUGACUCUUGUAGAGCGUGAGAUCGCCAUCAUCCGACGUCACAUGGAAGUGAUGCAGGAGGUACUGCUUAGCAAUAGAGAGCAGUUAAACACAAUGAGUCGUCUAAUGAUGCACCUGAAGUCCGAGUUCGCUCGGAUCUACGGCAUCCUUGCCGAGCAGGGGGAGGUCGCGGCCUCGGAGGACGAGGAACGUCCGAGAUCACCAAUGCUCAACCAGAGGCCAUUCAACCAUUUCUGAUUAUCCUAAAGGGAGAUUAAAACGAUAAUGUCGCAGUGUCAAGUAUUGCAAGCAGAAACAUUUCUACUUCAACUCCUGUGAGUCAGAUAAUUAAGUUGUGUCUAUUGAGAGUAUGUAGUGGAUAACAACGAAACAAGCUGUGAUGGUAGACCACCAGGUUGCAUACACGUGUACAAUAAGCGCAGGGUGGGAUACAUCGGUGAUAGAAUUUUAGUUGCUAGGAAGGAGUGAAAAGUAAAAGGGUAUAUUGGUUGGUUUGAAAUAACAUAUCCCUAAAGUUUCCAAGUUUGAUAGCAACAAUCUGGUACUCGGAUGACAAUGGCACACCUCUAGAUACAAAAAUACAGGUGCCUAUUCCACACAUACUGCAAACGAAAAUGAAAGAAUACUCGCAGCAAAGGAGCAAAUUAUACUAAACUAAUAACGAUUG